ensembl:lncRNA
GAACUAGCAGCGGUUCUGCCUUGGUGGAAAAGGGGUACGAGUCAUCACUGCCUCUUAGAACAUUACGUAUUUAACUAAAUGUUUUCUUUAUCAUGGUGACAAACAACUGGCGUUGGUAGACAAUGGCUCUGGUUUCAUACAGACGGCUGGAGCUCGUGGCCCCCCAGGAGGCACCUUUUGGCUCAUCAGGCCCAAAGAGUAAAGGUCACCGCUGUGACAGAAGCAGAGAAAAGGUGAGGAAGAGCGGCAGAAGAUGUCAGGGAAAGUGUCGGAAUGAGCAAAACACGACGCAUGAUGAGUUUUAAAACUGUGGGUGGAAGCAGAUCUGUGUCACUAUGACGACGGACGCUGCUGGAUGUGCAC